CAUUUCUUACAGUGAAAAUCAGGGGAGCGUACUCUUUCUCACGUGAGGCUGAACGCUGCCUCGUGGCGGGAGGGCAUCACAGUCCUGCAGGUGCUCCGGAACCAGUCAGUGCCAAGGGCCUGUGAGCCGCGGCGUGGAUCCCCUCGGUCCCAGCCCCAGUGUGUCCCAGAGCCCGGGGGGCAGAGGAGAGAACAUUGCAUCUCAGCCCUCAGCUCCUCAGAGAAGCUUCCCUCAUCACCCAGGAGGCGGCAAACAGCAAAGACCCACAAAUCCCACCACCUGCUGGUGAUAGCACCAUGGUCACCGUUCUGGGAGACGCAGGACACCAGGUUGUGAGGACACCAAGCAGCCCCAUGGAAGGCUCCACCGGCCCUGCCCGCUGAUCACCAGCACCACCUCAUCAGCCAGGUGAGCGAACAUUCUAGGCAGUGGGGUCCCCCACCCCAGGUCAGCCUUGGCCACAGCCCCAGCCUCUGUCU
rnacentral:lncRNA from 1 species